AUUGAACGCUGGCGGCAUGCCUUACACAUGCAAGUCGAACGGCAGCACGGGUGCUUGCACCUGGUGGCGAGUGGCGAACGGGUGAGUAAUACAUCGGAACAUGUCCUGUAGUGGGGGAUAGCCCGGCGAAAGCCGGAUUAAUACCGCAUACGAUCUACGGAUGAAAGCGGGGGACCUUCGGGCCUCGUGCUAUAGGGUUGGCCGAUGGCUGAUUAGCUAGUUGGUGGGGUAAAGGCCUACCAAGGCGACGAUCAGUAGCUGGUCUGAGAGGACGACCAGCCACACUGGGACUGAGACACGGCCCAGACUCCUACGGGAGGCAGCAGUGGGGAAUUUUGGACAAUGGGCGAAAGCCUGAUCCAGCAAUGCCGCGUGUGUGAAGAAGGCCUUCGGGUUGUAAAGCACUUUUGUCCGGAAAGAAAUCCUUGGCCCUAAUACGGUCGGGGGAUGACGGUACCGGAAGAAUAAGCACCGGCUAACUACGUG
rnacentral:rRNA from 1 species